GAUUGUGACAUAUCAUCAAACCCAGCAACUAGACGAUGUGAUUUUUCUUCCCUGCUUGAGCCCUGGAUAUGCUGUGCAUUGUGAUAUAUGGCUGGGUCCAACAUCAAGGAGAGAUUGUGACAUAUCUCUGGAACCAGAACCUUGGUGAUGUGACUCUUCUCUCCUGCUGAAGCCAUGCCCACACAAGGGAAAGUGACUUAUCACUGGGCCCAGCACACAGCGCUAUUCACAGGGAAAAUAGUGACACAUCUGUGGGGUUCUCACCGAAAUGAUGUGACUCUCUUGCCUGGGCUCACCUCUCAAGGGAAUUUUGACAUAUUACUGGACCAAGCACCUAGGCCCUGCAUUUAUUGUGUAUUGUGACAUAUGGCUUGGUCCAACACCUAGGUGGUGUGACUCUCUACUUCUUCCUGUGCCAUGCCAAAGAAGAGGAUUGUGACAUAUCACUGGAUCCAG
rnacentral:lncRNA from 10 species